ACAUUAGUGCCAGAGAAAUGGGUAGGCUUUAAGCGUCUAACAUGAAAUUAAUUUUCUAGUGUU
rnacentral:tRNA from 1 species